UACGAAGGGGGCUAGCGUUGCUCGGAAUCACUGGGCGUAAAGCGCACGUAGGCGGCUUCUUAAGUCAGGGGUGAAAUCCUGGAGCUCAACUCCAGAACUGCCUUUGAUACUGUAGAGCUUGAGUUCGGGAGAGGUGAGUGGAACUGCGAGUGUAGAGGUGAAAUUCGUAGAUAUUCGCAAGAACACCAGUGGCGAAGGCGGCUCACUGGCCCGAUACUGACGCUGAGGUGCGAAAGCGUGGGGAGCAAACAGG
rnacentral:rRNA from 1 species